rnacentral:rRNA from 1 species
AUUGAACGCUGGCGGCAUGCUUUACACAUGCAAGUCGAACGGCAGCGCGGGCUUCGGCCUGGCGGCGAGUGGCGAACGGGUGAGUAAUACAUCGGAACGUGCCCAGUAGUGGGGGAUAGCUCGGCGAAAGCCGGAUUAAUACCGCAUACGACCUGAGGGUGAAAGCGGGGGAUCUUCGGACCUCGCGCUAUUGGAGCGGCCGAUGGCAGAUUAGCUAGUUGGUGGGGUAAAGGCCUACCAAGGCGACGAUCCGUAGCUGGUCUGAGAGGACGACCAGCCACACUGGGACUGAGACACGGCCCAGACUCCUACGGGAGGCAGCAGUGGGGAAUUUUGGACAAGGGGCGAAAGCCUGAUCCAGCAAUGCCGCGUGUGUGAUGAAGGCCUUCGGGUUGUAAAGCACUUUUGGCGGGAACGAAAAGGACUGUGCCAAUACCACGGUUCGAUGACGGUACCCGCAGAAUAAGCACCGGCUAACUACGUG